rnacentral:rRNA from 1 species
CCCUUAGAUGUCCUGGGCCGCACGCGCGCUACACUGAUGCAUUCAACGAGCUUAUAACCUUGGCCGAGAGGCCCGGGCAAUCUUGUUAACGUGCAUCGUGAUAGGGAUAGAUUAUUGAAAUUAUUAAUCUUGAACGAGGAAUUCCUAGUAAACGCAGAUCAUCAAUCUGCAUUGAUUACGUCCCUACCCUUUGUACACACCGCCCGUCGCACCUACCGACUGGAUGGUCCGGUGAAGCCUCGGGAUUGUGGUUCUUGCCGCUUUAUUGUGGCGUGACCGCGAGAACUUGUCUAAACCUUAUCAUCUAGAGGAAGGUGAAGUCGUAACA